rnacentral:rRNA from 1 species
CACCGCGGUUAAACGAGAGGCCCUAGUUGAUAAUAUUACGGCGUAAAGGGUGGUUAAGGAAAACAAAUUAAUAAAGCCAAAUGGCCCUUUGGCCGUCAUACGCUCCUAGGUGUCCGAAGCCCAAUUUUACGAAAGUAGCUUUAACAAAAUUAACCUGACCCCACGAAAGCUGAGAAA